AACGAACGCUGGCGGCAGGCUUAACACAUGCAAGUCGAGCGCCCCGCAAGGGGAGCGGCAGACGGGUGAGUAACGCGUGGGAAUCUACCCAUCUCUACGGAAUAACGCAUGGAAACGUGUGCUAAUACCGUAUACGUCCUUCGGGAGAAAGAUUUAUCGGAGAUGGAUGAGCCCGCGUUGGAUUAGCUAGUUGGUGGGGUAAAGGCCUACCAAGGCGACGAUCCAUAGCUGGUCUGAGAGGAUGAUCAGCCACACUGGGACUGAGACACGGCCCAGACUCCUACGGGAGGCAGCAGUGGGGAAUAUUGGACAAUGGGCGCAAGCCUGAUCCAGCCAUGCCGCGUGAGUGAUGAAGGCCCUAGGGUUGUAAAGCUCUUUCACCGGGGAAGAUAAUGACGGUAACCGGAGAAGAAGCCCCGGCUAACUUCGUGCCAGCAGCCGCCGUAACAA
rnacentral:rRNA from 1 species